rnacentral:rRNA from 1 species
UACGUAGGGGGCGAGCGUUGUCCGGAUUUAUUGGGCGUAAAGAGCGUGUAGGCGGCCAGGUAGGUCUGCUGUGAAAACUCGAGGCUCAACCUCGAGACGUCGGCGGAAACCAUCUGGCUAGAGUCCGGAAGAGGAGAGUGGAAUUCCUGGUGUAGCGGUGAAAUGCGCAGAUAUCAGGAAGAACACCCGUGGCGAAGGCGGCUCUCUGGGACGGUACUGACACUGAGGAGCGAAAGCGUGGGGAGCGAACAGG